GCCAGGCGUGGUGGUGCACGCCUGUAAUCCCAGCUACUCGGGAGGCUGAGGCAGGAGAAUCGCUUGAACCAGGGAGAUGGAGGUUGCAGUGAGCUGAAAUCGAACCACUGCACUCCAACCUGGGUGACAGAGCGAGACCCUGUCUCAA
rnacentral:SRP_RNA from 1 species